rnacentral:misc_RNA from 1 species
UUAAGUUCAGCGGGUAGUCCUACCUGAUCUGAGGUCAAAUCGAAUGAAGUGCCCGAGGGCGGGUUGUGAGCGGUGACCCCUAAGCUGACGGAACCUAAUACGCCAGGGUCAAAGUCGACUGCUAAUGCUUUUAAGGCGAGCCAGACGGCAGACGCCCAAAUCCAACCGAGACGGUCUCCCGUCAAGGUUGAGGCUUCAUG